AGAAUGCCGCGGUGAAUACGUUCCCGGGUCUUGUACACACCGCCCGUCACACCAUGGAAGUCUGCAAUGCCCGAAGCCGGUGGCCUAACCACUUAUGUGGAAGGAGCCGUCUAAGGCAGGGCAGAUGACUGGGGUGAAGUCGUAACAAGGUACC
rnacentral:rRNA from 1 species